rnacentral:rRNA from 1 species
AUUGAACGCUGGCGGCAGGCCUAACACAUGCAAGUCGAACGGUAACAGAAAGCAGCUUGCUGCUUUGCUGACGAGUGGCGGACGGGUGAGUAAUGUCUGGGAAACUGCCUGAUGGAGGGGGAUAACUACUGGAAACGGUAGCUAAUACCGCAUAACGUCGCAAGACCAAAGAGGGGGACCUUCGGGCCUCUUGCCAUCGGAUGUGCCCAGAUGGGAUUAGCUAGUAGGUGGGGUAAAGGCUCACCUAGGCGACGAUCCCUAGCUGGUCUGAGAGGAUGACCAGCCACACUGGAACUGAGACACGGUCCAGACUCCUACGGGAGGCAGCCGUGGGGAAUAUUGCACAAUGGGCGCAAGCCUGAUGCAGCCAUGCCGCGUGUAUGAAGAAGGCCUUCGGGUUGUAAAGUACUUUCAGCGGGGAGGAAGGGAGUAAAGUUAAUACCUUUGCUCAUUGACGUUACCCGCAGAAGAAGCACCGGCUAACUCCGUG